GCCCUUGUGGUGCAAAGUUUAAGUGCUUGGCUGCUAACCAAAAGGUCAGUGGUUUGAACCCACCCAAAGGCU
rnacentral:tRNA from 1 species